AUACUUUGAACUACCCAUUUUUUCUUCAAUCGAAACACAAACCCUAGGAACUCCUUGAUGAUUACAAUCAAACAAUUCUAGCAUGCAUAUAAAUAAGAGAUUAGAAGUUAUAUACUAAACAUGAAGAUGAGGAUCUAGUAAUAGAAUGAUCUUCAUAAGACUCUAAAGUAGAAGUCCUCCAACGGUGAUCCACACGGGAC
rnacentral:lncRNA from 1 species